AACGCACCUUGCGCCUCUUGGUAUUCCGAGAGGCAUGCCUGUUUGAGUGUCAUGAAAUCUCAAUCCCCGAGGGUUUUUUCGAACCAGCGGUGGACUUGGACUUGGGCGUCUGCCUCCCCAGGCUCGCCUCAAAUGACUCAGUGGGAUCCAGUGACCUACGCCUGACGUAAUAAGUUUCGUCUCGGCCGGUCGCCCGGGCCUGCUCACAACACCCCAUAUCUUUGACAUUGACCUCAAAUCAGGUAGGGCUACCCGCUGAACUUAA
rnacentral:misc_RNA from 1 species